GUGAGGAAUUUUCCGCAAUGGGCGAAAGCCUGACGGAGCAAUGCCGCGUGAAGGAUGAAGGCCUAUGGGUUGUAAACUUCUUUUCUUAGAGAAGAAUAUUGACGGUAUCUGAGGAAUAAGCAUCGGCUAACUCUGUGCCAGCAGCCGCGGUAAGACAGAGGAUGCAAGCGUUAUCCGGAAUGAUUGGGCGUAAAGCGUCUGUAGGUGGCUUCAACAGUCUCCUGUCAAAGAUCAGGGCUUAACCCUGGGCCGGCAGGAGAAACUGUGAGGCUAGAGUUUGGUAGGGGCAGAGGGAAUGCCCGGUGGAGCGGUGAAAUGCGUAGAGAUCGGGAGGAACACCAAAGGCGAAAGCACUCUGCUGGGCCACAACUGACACUGAGAGACGAAAGCGAGGGGAGCAAAAGGGAUUAGAAACCCGUGUAGUCC
rnacentral:rRNA from 1 species